CACGUAGGGGGCAAGCGUUGUCCGGAAUUACUGGGCGUAAAGGGCUCGUAGGCGGCCAACUAAGUCAUACGUGAAAUCCCUCGGCUUAACCGGGGAACUGCGUCUGAUACUGGAUGGCUUGAGUUCGGGAGAGGGAUGCGGAAUUCCAGGUGUAGCGGUGAAAUGCGUAGAUAUCUGGAGGAACACCGGUGGCGAAGGCGGCAUCCUGGACCGAUACUGACGCUGAGGAGCGAAAGCCAGGGGAGCAAACGGG
rnacentral:rRNA from 1 species